GAAAAGGUGAAGGUAAAUGUGGUA
rnacentral:siRNA from 1 species